rnacentral:rRNA from 1 species
CACGUAGGGGGCAAGCGUUGUCCGGAUUUAUUGGGCGUAAAGAGCUCGUAGGCUGUUCGAUAAGUCGGGUGUGAAACCUCCAGGCUCAACCUGGAGACGCCACCCGAUACUGUCAUGACUAGAGUCCGGUAGGGGAGCGUGGAAUUCCUGGUGUAGCGGUGAAAUGCGCAGAUAUCAGGAGGAACACCAGCGGCGAAGGCGGCGCUCUGGGCCGGUACUGACGCUGAGGAGCGAAAGCUAGGGGAGCAAACGGG